GUGUCAGCAGCCGCGGUAAUACGAAGGUGGCUAGCGUUGUUCGGAAUCACUGGGCUUAAAGAGCACGUAGGCGGCCUGUCAAGCGUCUUGUGAAAUCCCUCGGCUCAACCGAGGAACGGCUGGGCGAACUGGCAGGCUUGAGGCAGGUAGGGGUACACGGAACUCUUGGUGGAGCGGUGGAAUGCGUAGAUAUCAAGAGGAACGCCGGUGGCGAAGGCGGUGUACUGGGCCUGUCCUGACGCUGAGGUGCGAAAGCCAGGGGAGCAAACGGGAUUAGAUACCCCGGUAGUCCUGGCCCUAAACGAUGUCCCCUAGGUCGAAGGUUCUCUGACGGAGUUUCGGCCGAAACAAAAGCGUUAAGUGGACCGCCUGGGGAGUACGGUCGCAAGGCUAAAACUCAAAUGAAUUGACGGGG
rnacentral:rRNA from 1 species